UACGAAGGGGGCUAGCGUUGUUCGGAAUUACUGGGCGUAAAGCGCACGCAGGCGGUCUUCCAAGUCAGUGGUGAAAGCCUGGAGCUCAACUCCAGAACUGCCAUUGAAACUGUUAGACUUGAGUACGAGAGAGGUGAGUGGAAUUCCCAGUGUAGAGGUGAAAUUCGUAGAUAUUGGGAAGAACACCAGUGGCGAAGGCGGCUCACUGGCUCGUAACUGACGCUCAGGCGCGACAGCGUGGGGAUCAAACAGG
rnacentral:rRNA from 1 species